CAGUAGCCGCGGGAAUACGAGGGGGGCAAGCGUUGUUCGGAAUUAUUGGGCGCAAAGGGUGCGUAGGCGGUUCAGCAAGUCUCGUGUGAAAUCUUCGGGCUCAACCCGAAGUCUGCACGGGAAACUACUGGGCUUGAGUAAUGGAGAGGUGAGUGGAAUUUCCGGUGUAGCGGUGAAAUGCGUAGAUAUCGGAAGGAACACCUGUGGCGAAAGCGGCUCACUGGACAUUUACUGACGCUGAUGCACGAAAGCUAGGGGAGCAAACAGGAUUAGAUACCCCUGUAGUCCCUGUCUCUUAUAC
rnacentral:rRNA from 1 species